rnacentral:rRNA from 1 species
UACGAAGGGGGCUAGCGUUGCUCGGAAUGACUGGGCGUAAAGGGCGCGUAGGCGGAGGUGACAGUCAGAUGUGAAAUUCCCGGGCUCAACCUGGGGACGGCAUUUGAGACGUUGCCUCUGGAGUGAGGAAGAGGGUCGUGGAAUUCCCAGUGUAGAGGUGAAAUUCGUAGAUAUUGGGAAGAACACCGGUGGCGAAGGCGGCGACCUGGUCCCUAACUGACGCUGAGGCGCGAAAGCGUGGGGAGCAAACAGG